rnacentral:rRNA from 1 species
UACGUAGGUGGCAAGCGUUGUCCGGAUUUACUGGGCGUAAAGAGCGCGCAGGCGGUCGUGCAAGUCGCGUGUGAAAGCCCCCGGCUCAACUGGGGAGGGUCACGCGAUACUGAUCGACUCGAAGGCAGGAGAGGGUAGUGGAAUUCCCGGUGUAGUGGUGAAAUGCGUAGAUAUCGAGAGGAACACCUGCGGCGAAGGCGGGUAGCUGGGCCGACACUGACGCUGAGGCGCGAAAGCCAGGGGAGCGAACGGG